GCCAUUGUAGCUUAAACAAAGCAUAACACUGAAGAUGUUAAGAUGGGCCUUAAAAAGCCCCAAGAGCA
rnacentral:tRNA from 1 species